UUGACCUCGGAUCAGGUAGGAAUACCCGCUGAACUUAAGCAUAUCAAUAAGCGGAGGAAAAGAAACCAACAGGGAUUGCCUCAGUAACGGCGAGUGAAGCGGCAACAGCUCAAAUUUGAAAUCUGGCCCCCAGGCCCGAGUUGUAAUUUGUAGAGGAUGCUUCUGGCGACGCGCCUUCCGAGUUCCCUGGAACGGGACGCCAAAGAGGGUGAGAGCCCCGUCCGGUCGUGCGCCUAGCCUCUGUGAAGCUCCUUCGACGAGUCGAGUAGUUUGGGAAUGCUGCUCUAAAUGGGAGGUAUACGUCUUCUAAAGCUAAAUACCGGCCAGAGACCGAUAGCGCACAAGUAGAGUGAUCGAAAGAUGAAAAGCACUUUGAAAAGAGGGUUAAAUAGUACGUGAAAUUGCUGAAAGGGAAGCGCUUAUGACCAGACUUGGGCUUGGUGAAUCAUCCGGCGUUCUCGCCGGUGCACUUUGCCGGUCCAGGCCAGCAUCAGUUCGUCUCGGGGGAUAAAGGCUUCGGGAAAGUAGCUCCCUCGGGAGUGUUAUAGACCGUUGCGCAAUACCCUGAGGUGGACUGAGGUACGCGUUCUGCAAGGAUGCUGGCGUAAUGGUCAUCAGUGACCCGUCUUGAAACACGGACC
rnacentral:rRNA from 1 species